rnacentral:rRNA from 1 species
GAUGAACGCUAGCGGCAGGCCUAAUACAUGCAAGUCGAGGGGCAGCGCGGUAGCAAUACUGGCGGCGACCGGCGCACGGGUGCGUAACACGUAUGCAACCUACCUUCAACUGGAGGAUAGCCCGGGGAAACUCGGAUUAAUACUCCAUAACACAGGGAUCCCGCAUGGGAAUAUUGUUAAAGCUACGGCGGUUGAAGAUGGGCAUGCGUUCGAUUAGCUAGUUGGUGUAGGUAACGGCUCACCAAGGCUACGAUCGAUAGGGGGUCUGAGAGGAUGAUCCCCCACACUGGUACUGAGAUACGGACCAGACUCCUACGGGAGGCAGCAGUAGGGAAUAUUGGUCAAUGGGCGCAAGCCUGAACCAGCCAUGCCGCGUGCAGGAAGAAGGCCCUCUGGGUUGUAAACUGCUUUUGAUAGGGAACAAAUGCCACUUGCGAGUGGAGCUGAGUGUACCUAUAGAAUAAGCACCGGCUAACUCCGUGCCAGCAGCCGCGGUAA